ncrna:unclassified sequences S15-Flavobacteria ribosomal protein leader
UACCUUUGCACCCAAUCAGGAAAAUCCUGAAUUUACAUAAUAAUUAUUUAAAUAAUAUUGGCAUG